rnacentral:rRNA from 1 species
CCUACGGGAGGCAGCAGUGGGGAAUAUUGCACAAUGGGGGGAACCCUGAUGCAGCGACGCCGCGUGGGUGAAGGAGUACUUCGGUACGUAAAGCUCUAUCAGCAGGAAAGAAAAUGACGGUACCUGACUAAGAAGCCCCGGCUAACUACGUGCCAGCAGCCGCGGUAAUACGUAGGGGGCAAGCGUUAUCCGGAUUUACUGGGGGUUAAGGGAGCGUAGACGGCAGUGCAAGUCCGGAGUGAAUGCCCGGGGCUCAACCCUGGGACUGCUCUGGAAACUGCAAAGCUGGAGAGCGGGAGGGGUAGGCGGAAUGCCUGGUGUAGCGGUGAAAUGCGUAGAGAUCAGGAGGAACACCGGCGGCGAAGGCGGCCUACUGGACCGUAAAUGACGUUGAGGCACGAAAGCGUGGGGUGCAAACAGGAUUAGAUACCCGGGUAGUC